CCUACGGGAGGCAGCAGUGGGGAAUUUUGGACAAUGGGCGCAAGCCUGAUCCAGCAAUGCCGCGUGAGUGAAGAAGGCCUUCGGGUUGUAAAGCUCUUUUGUGGAACGCACGGUACCUGAAGAAUAAGCACCGGCUAACUACGUGCCAGCAGCCGCGGUAAUACGUAGGGUGCAAGCGUUAAUCGGAAUUACUGGGCGUAAAGCGUGCGCAGGCGGUUUUGUAAGUCUGUCGUGAAAGCCCCGGGCUCAACCUGGGAAUUGCGAUGGAGACUGCAAGGCUUGAAUCUGGCAGAGGGGGGUAGAAUUCCACGUGUAGCAGUGAAAUGCGUAGAGAUGUGGAGGAACACCGAUGGCGAAGGCAGCCCCCUGGGUCAGUUGACGCUCAUGCACGAAAGCGUGGGGAGCAAACAGGAUUAGAUACCCUUGUAGUC
rnacentral:rRNA from 1 species